AGAGAAUCUUCACGACUCUAUUGCAGACGGCAUCUCGAAAGCUCUCAGGUCGCUGGCUCAUAGCCACUACACGACCUCCACAUGUGCAUCACUCCAAGUUUGAGAUGUUGAGACCUGUGAGAACACCGAAAAAUAUCAAGCCACUGGAAGGUCGAAGCUAUGGCCGAAUCCUAUGACCCGGCUCCUACUAACCUCUCCAGUGACCUUGAGCCAU
rnacentral:lncRNA from 1 species